AUCUUCUUAUCUUAGGGUAACAACUAUCAUUCUAUCAAAUCCUUCGCUGUGAAUUCGAGAGAAACUGAAUCGUGAAUGUUGUUUGGUUUUUUUAUCUUUUCUUUUUGAUAUCAAAUUUGAUUACGUACUUUGAUUUUCAUUUCGGUUAUGGUGUUGUUUGGCUGCAGUGAAAGAGAGUAUCAGAGAGGAGGCGAGAUCGCGUGGUACGUAGAUGGUGAUAAGAUUGUGAGGUACAUAAUGUUUGAGGUAUUGAUGUGAAGUGUACAUAUUAUCGCGAAUUGCAAAAUUGCAAAGGAGGAACGCAGAGCAGCCGUUGGGUUUUGAUUGAAAAAAGGGAAAAGUGGCCUUCAUAGGCUAAUUUGAACAAGAAUGAGCUAGCCAUACAUGGAUUGAUGCCUAGUGAAUUUGCUGAGGAUUCUGACAGCUAGAAAUCAGCUGCUCAAAACUAUUGGUCACUCCUUUGACCUCUAAUAGUUUCUGAUCAUCCAAAGAGGCUUGGUGACGAGGACUUCGCCACCUUACAACAUGUUCAGAAAUAUUUUAGACAUGAAUGCUAAUUUCGGCGGCUUUAACUGUGCAUUAUUGCAAGCAAGAAAGUCUGUGUGGGUCUGCAUUUGGAAGAGCAGGAAGCGGCACCAGUGGAAUGAUAUGCAUGGACAUACAACAUCAGAUGCAGACAUAUCGUUCAUAAGCUCUGGGAGCCCAAACAGUGUUUGUUCAUCCUCUAUUUACUAUUACAUGGACUCCGCUUGAACUUCACGAGUUUCUACCAGUUCAGAUCCUAGCUUUAAAUCCAAUCGAUCGAGACUCAAGUUCAAUGACCCCGGUUCACCGGAUACCUCCUUUUCACUUGAAAGCGGUAGAAUAUAGGUAUCUAAGUAUAGUUUAUUCUGUUUGACAUAUGUCUGCUGUCAUGAAAUAGAAAAUUGUUAGGCUUUGAAAAAAAUGUAUUCUUUUAUGGGAUGAUGACGACAGUAUUUGCUAUAUCUGUUUCUAGAUAUUUGGACCAUUGGUAAGAUCACCUUAGCACUACAUGCUAUUGCAGAAGUACAUAUAAUUUGUCUAGAGUUUUCCCAGUAUUUGAUUUUCUAGUUAUCGGUCGGAAUCAAUGUUGUUUAUGUUUGUGCCGAAGUUAGGAGACAAUGCAAUUCUUCUUGAUGCAGAGCAUGCUUUUGAUCCAACGUAUUCUAAAGCUUUAGCAGUGUUGAU